rnacentral:lncRNA from 1 species
AGCGGGGAAGAACUGCCACAACCAAUUUGUGGAGUUGAGCAUCUCGAGCCACAAGCCGAUUAGGGGGACAAAAUCUGAUGUCUAUAGGAGGAGCAAUGAGACAUGGAACAACUGCGUUGCAGCUCUCAGUCCUGUAUCCCCUCCCAAGCCGGCUCAUUGAGAGCUAUUCCUAUUUUAUAGUACAAUAAACGUGUAAUAUAAAAAGAACAAAAGAAUUAUAAUUUUUGUAUUGGAUUCUCCUCAAAUUUUUUAUUUUAUUUUUCGUGCCUCUUAAGCCUUAUGGUUAACUAUCAUGGAAGCACAAUUGUGGAUGAAUCAUAUUUUCAGUGUUUAAUGUGCUUAUUAAACUUGUAAUUUUUUAAAACGAUCUGCAAAAUACAAUCCGCCCUAAAGUUGUUACUAGCUUUCAAGUCUACAAACAUAGUCCCAUACAAAACUAUAUAGAAACUGUCACUUUAUUUCUUGUGCUUUUAACACAACCUUUUGAAACAAAUAGCUAAGCGAUAAAAAGGUUAAUAGAUGGUUUAAUAAUCAUACAUUCAUCUCUAAUAAUCACAUGAAUACGUAGUUAAAGCUAGUCGAUCUAGCAUACUAUUAUAUAAAGUAAUGUAAAGAUGACUUCUUACCUUUUGACAAAUUAAAUCCCCGAUAGUUGUUUUAUAUAACACUCUAUCAAUGGAUAAAUGUAUAAAUUAAUAAUCUUAUAUAAAUCUUACUUUGAAUCUUUUUAAUCUUGUAAGCAAUCAUAAAAAUAAAAAAUUCAAAUCUCGAAAUAUAUUUCUCUAUUUAUAUAUGUACGUAUCCAAUUGCUCCAUUAGUAAUUUCUUUCUUUCCAUUAAUUGAUAAUUCAAAUAGCCUAUAUUGGACGAUUUAGCAAAACCUUCAAAUGUUAACUAUAUGUUCAUUCAAGAAUGCACGUACACUUUUGAUACUCAUAUACUAUGUAAACUUGACUUUUGAACAUUUAAUGAGGUUUUGUUGGUACCAAGAAUUUAGAAAUAUGUAUGGCCCAACAUCUUAUGUAAAAUGAGUUCGUAAUAAGUUUGACCCUGUUAUUAUGCAAGAGUAGGUUUAAUUUAAUCAACCCAAACGUAAUGAAUGUAUGUUGCUUGGCGGGGAAGAUGACGACGAAGAUUAUUAUUAUCGGCUUGGCCCCUCUUCAUUUAACGAAACCUAUUAAUUAUCACAAGUUUUAAUAAUUUUUAAUAAAGAAAAAAUAGUUCCGCCCCAAUAACUAGUCCAAAGGUUAAAUGAUCAAUUAAUGAGUUCAGUAAAUCUGGAAAACCAAAACCCAAAUCUUGUUAAAGGAUAAUUACCUAAUGAAUAAUUUGACCAAAAAAAUUCAGCUUUUAAAUAAUCUCAAUUAAUCUAGAAAACCAAAGCCAAUUUAGGUUUAUAGAUAUAAAGGAAAAACAAGACUAGUAAGAACUUUGUACAUAUAAACUUGGCUCCUUUUCAUUAAUUAAUGAGACCUAUUGAUUAUUUAACUUUUUUUUCCACAAGUUGUUGAAAAAUAAUUAAUGAAGAGCAAAAUCACACUAAAAUAUCUGGGCAAAUAAUUAAUUAAUAAGUUCGCUAAAUAUAACAAACCAAAACCAAAUUAUUUGAUCAAAGGUUUAAUUUAUCAAUUGUUGAUACUAAAAUUUUGGCUUCAAGUGCAAUCAUUUGCAUAAAAAUUAGGGCUUAUAUCAUGAAAAACCCUAAAUGAGUACACUUGUGUCAACCUAAAUUGGUAUACUCAUGAUAAAUUUAUCUUUUGCUAGUUUCCAUUAAAUUUUUUUAUGAAAUUCCUGAGUUGGAUGGAUGAUAUGUGGUAGUUGAUGGGUAUUUGGUUUAUCCUCCAUUUGUUACAAGGAUAUCGGUUUUGUGAUUUUUUGUGAUAUUAAUACAAUUUAAUAGAAACUAAUUGAGAGUAAAUUUAUCACAAAUGUAUCGGGUUUGGAAUUUUGUGGUCAAAAAAUUAGUUUGGGAAAAUUUGUCAUAGGAAUACUAGUUUGGAAUUAUGGCGGUUAAAAAAUUAGUUUGAGAUAAUUUUGUCAUAGAUGUACUUGUUUGAUAAUUUUUGUGGCAUUAAUCCUAAAAAUUAGGGAUGGACACAAACCCUAAAUAAAAGGUAUCAUUAACAUAACGUGCUUUUGCAUUAUAGAUGUUUGAAUUUCUAAGAUGAAUUAUGCUUGAUCUGAAACAAUGAUACAUGAUCAGAGUUGAAGAGGGAAAAUCAAGAAUGAGAUCAAAUUCUAGGAUGUUGAAGGAAAUUUUUGCACAAUAAAAGGGGGACGUCUUCUUCUAGGAUGUUGAAGGAAAUUUUUGCACAAUAAAAGGGGGACGUCUUCUUCCCAAGGGAUGAUCAUGGCUUCUAGAAUCAAUUAAAAUUUCUUUUAGUUUUCUUUUUUUGCUUUAGUUCCUUGGACAAGUUUUUGAGGAUCCAUUUUAUUUCCGAAAUAGAAAUAGUUCCUUGGACAAGUUUUUGAGGAUCCAUUUUAUUUCCGAAAUAGAAAAAGAACAUGAAUGCGUUUGGUACAACUCUCAAAUUUUUUGUGACAUAAAAUUUUCUUUUAAUUUUUAAAUAAUUUUAUGAGAUUUUUUUUGUUGCUUUUUUUCCUUCUCUUCUUCUUCCUACUCUAGUUGUUAGCGGGCCAUUGCGAUAGCUGGCGAUCGGCUAGACGAGAGUUGGCAACCUCACUAGCCUUGAGGGAGCCUUGCCUAGCCAUCAGUGAGACUUGACCUCAUCUGGGCAAGGUUGAGCCCUGCCCAGCCAAGGCUAGGUUGACUUCGCCCAACCAAGACCAGAUCGCCAAGCGUAGCAACCAACUAAAGGAGGAAGAGCAAGAAAAGAAAAAGAAGAAAAGAAAAGAGGGAGAAAGAAGAGAAAAUGACUUGAUUCUAGAAUUUUCCUCGGGAAUAAUGAAAUAACUUUUUUUCUACUUUUUUAUUCUAUUCUAGUUUUAUUUUUGGGAACAUUAUUCCCUAUUGAUGUUAGACCUAUUAACUGGAUGGGUCAGGUAGGGUUUGGGUCAAGUCAUAAAUGGUCCGACCCAAAUUAACGCAUUUAACCUGUUUAUGACCCAUUUAUUGUAGUGUAAAACUUUUGACCCAUACCUGACCUGACCCAUUUAACUAAACCUAUGAAAGCUUAUUUCUUAUGAUUUUUUUUUAAAUGGUAUUGCUAAAAUACUUUUAUGCAAUUCAAAUUUGAUGGACCAUUUAUAUAUUUAUAUAUAUAUUAAAUUUACAUUUUAAAUAUCGAAUUUUUAUUUAAUUUUAAAAAAUAGAAUUUUUAAUUAUUUUUAUUUUUUUAAAUAUUUUUUUAAUUGGUUGUAUUUUUAAAAAUAUAAUUUUUCUUUUUCUCUUUUCUCUUUUCUCUUUCUUCUUCUUUAGCUGGUCACCGGCCAUGAUGACGGUCAACAGCCUGCCACAGGUGAGCCUCCAGUUGGCCUGAUCGUCGAGGCUUAAGCCUCAUUAGACGUCGGCGAGGUUCGAGCCACACCAGUGUCGGGUGAGGUCGAGCCUUGCGGACAUUUGGCAAGGCCUUUGCCUCGCAGGAUCCGGCCAGCUUGAGCCUUGACGACAUUUGGUGAGGCCUCUACCUUGCCGGAUGCAGCUAGCUCAAGCUUGCCCGAUGCCAGUGAGCUUGAGUCUCACCUAGUCGGUCGCCAACCGUCGUCAUGUUGGCCACUAGCUAAAGAAGGAGGAAGAUGAAAGGAAAAAAAAGGAAAGAAAAUUGAAAUAUAAAAAAUAAUUAUAAUUUCGAUUUUUAUAAAAUAUAUUUUUAUAAAGUUCAAGAGGGAAGAGAAAUAUUUUGAGGCUUUAGUUGAAAAUGGGUUCUUAGUCGAAUCAAUUUAACAGCCGUUUAUCUUAAAUCUUCAAUUUUUAAACCCAUUUAAUUGGUUUCUUUAAAAAAUAUGUGACCAAUACAUUACCCAUUUAUAAUUUAAAUGGAUCAUAUAUAUGGGUCUAUGACCCAUUUUGCCACCUGAAACUGACAUUAUCAAAUAGAUUAAUCCAUAACCAUUGCGCCUAUUGGUCUUUAUCCUUGUUCUUAGCGACCUAAAGCUCUUGCAGUCAUGGUAGAUUGACCAUCAAACCUCCCACUUCCAUGCAUCGUUGCGUCUCACCCCUCCAACAUUGUGAUUUGUCAGUUGCCGCAUUGUUGAAUUUCGCUGCUACACUUUACGCCUUAGCACUAUCCUCGUCAGUGAAGCAAACCUCGCUCGACGUCUAGCUAUGUUGAUUUUUCAAAAUUUGUGGCCCUAGUUUGAACAUUCUCCACAAUGGACAUCACUUUUACAAGCAGAAUAAAAAAAAGAAAAAAAAACAUGUGAGAAGUCCACGCCAAUUAAAAUCAGGAACUUUUUUUUUUUCCUUUUAAUUUUCCUUAGCCGAUUCCUCUUCUCCGGGGAAUAUUUCAUGUCCACAAGUUACCAAAAUUAAAAUCCUGCACCAGCUAGUUGUGCAUCUAAAAAAUGAACUUCAAGCUUUAUUAUAGUUAGGUUUGAGUUAAAUUUCAUUCACGGACUCCUCAAGAUAUUUUUUAACAUUAUGCAUCCGUUACCCGGUGAUCCGUGCUGAAAUUUCAAGGAGAACACCUAUCGAUGUAGUUCCUUAGCCAGACCAAAAGGACAACUUGUGACAAAUUUAACCUGAAAAACCCUAAACUGGUACACUUAUAACAAAUUUACACCAAACUAUUUUUUUGACCACCAAAAACCCCAAACUGGUAUACAUUUGACAAAUUUACCCCAAACUGGUACAAUUGUGACAAAUUUACCAUAUGUUAGUUUUCGUUAAAUUUUACUGUCAAAUUAUUAAGUUAAAUUACACGUGACAGUUGACUAGUAUAUCGAUUUAGGAUUUUACGCAUCGUUGUCACAAUUUACAAUUUUUGUGAUUUUUUUGUAGAAGUAAUCUAAUCUAGCAGAUGGUAUAUUUGUCACAAAUUCAGAAGUUUGGGGUUUUUUUGCGAUCAAAUAAAUUAGUUUAGGGUAAAUUUGUCGUAAAUGUACUAGUUUAUGGUUUUUUAUGGUUAGUCGGGGUAAAUUUGUCACAAGUGUACUAGUUUGGGGUUUUUCAUGGUCAAAAAAAUAAUUUGGGGUAAAUUUAUCACAAGUGCACCAAUUUGGGGUUUAUUAGGGUAUUAACCCCUCUUUUUCUUUUUUUUUCCUUUUAAUUUUCCUUAGCCGAUUCCACUUCUCCGGGGAAUAUUUCGUGUCCACAAGGUACCAAAAUUAAAAUCCUGCACUAGCUGGUUGCGCAUCUAAAAAAUGAACUUCAUGCUUUAUUAUAGUUUAGUUUGAGUUAAAUUUCGUUCACAGACUCCUCAAGAUAUUUUUUAACAUUAUGCAUCUGUUACUCAGUGAUCCGUGCUGAAAUUUCAAGGAGAACACCUAUAGAUGUAGUUCCUCAGCCAGACCAAAAGGAGAAACAUUGAGACACAGAAGAUUGAUUUUCACCACCAGAUUUCAAGUGUUCCGUUAGUUGAAAAACCAAUAUGACAACCUGACCAAAAGGACAUGCGUGGACACCCGGAAGAUUGAUUUUCAUCUCCAGAUUUCACUCUAGAUUUCAAUUGGUCCGUUAGUUGAAAAACAUAUUUUGAAUUGUUCUUCGUUUCCUUGUACCUCGAUGCUCUGUCUUCGUCCGUCGAUUAUUUCUGUCAACUGCGUACAAUGGAUCCUUAUAAACGUUGCAUAUGGGAACCGGUCAUUAUCUAAUGCGAGAUAAACUUUAAUAGCUUGGAGAUUGGGAAGUCUCAAGCCAUUAUUGCUUUUACUGUACAGCGGAAUAGUCAUGCUUUAUUCACUCUCUCGUGAAUUAGUUUUAUUCGCGCUUAACCCAUAUUUAAUGAUUGAACCGGAUUUAAGUUUGUUUAGUGCAUGUUCAGCAAAUUUAAUUUCAUAAAAUUAUUUUAAACAACUCAUUACUACUUUUUUAAUUCAAAUGAUUGAACAACGAAGAAGGUGACAUAACAAGGGCCUCAAUCCUUAUAGUGAGGAGAGUUUAUUGCAAGAGAAAUAAUUGUAGAUGUUUCCUGUAUAAAUGUCUGAAUCAUAACAGAUGAAUCCAUUUUAUUGAUGCACUACUUCCCUCAAGAUAUAUAAGUUAUCAUCUCUACAUGAAUACAUAAUCAAAUAAUCAACGCACUCAGACAAUUUUCUAACCCUUUUGUCCCCAAAAGACCAUCAUGGCAACCUUUAAGAACUUGUUUGCUCUCAUGAUCUUUUUUGUCAUCACUGUCGCAUUGCUUCCUAGGACUACCUUCACCACGGUUGGAAUCCUUGAUUGCGCAAAGGGAAUAACUAACGAUUGUGGGUUUUGGCUCUUUCAAAUCGUAGUCCUUGGUGACACCUCUGCACCUAUCGAUGAAUGUUGUCACAAGCUCGUGAAAGUAUUGCCAUAGCCAAUUCAUGGAGUUGAUCCUCUCAAGCCACAAGCCGAUUGGGGGGGAAGAAAUCUAAUGUCUACAAGAGGAGCAAUGAGACAUGGAACAAUUGUGUUGUGGCAAUCAAUCUUGUAUCCCCUCUCGAGGCCGGUUAUUGAUAGCUAUUCCUAUUUUGUAAUACACUAAACGUGUAGAAAAAAAAUGAAAAGAUUACAAUUUUUCUAUUGGAUUCUCCUAAAAGGAAUUAUUUUUUGUGCCUCUUAAGCCUUAUGAUUAACUAUAAUAUAUGCGCAAUAUUGGAUGAAUCAUAUUUUCUGUGUUCUAUGCGCUUAGAAACUUGUAAUUUUUUUAGAAGAUUUGCAAAUCCACCCCUCAAGUUGUUACUUACUUUCUAGUCUAACAAGAUAGAGUCACAUUAAAACCUAUAAGAAAAUGUCACUUUGUUUCUUAUGCUUUUAACAUAACCUUUUGAAAUGACAUCAAAUGAUGGUUUGAUAAUCAUACAUUCAUCUUUACCGAUCACAUGAAUAUGUAAUUAACGUUGGCUGAUCUUGCUAUCUAUAUAUAGAGUAAAGUAAAGAGGGCUUCUUACUUUUAAGGUUUUCUAAGAAAAAGAAAUCCCCAACUAUAUAAUAAUCUCUGAAUGGAUAAAUGUAUAAAUUGAUAAUCUUGUAUAAAUCUCACUUUGAUUGAGCCAAUAUAAUUGGGAUGACUUCUUACUUUUGAGUAAAGAGGACUUCAACAUAAUAUAUGAUCUAUCAUGACCCCUAAGCAAACAAAUUAAUUAAAUUAUAUAUAAAUAUUAAGAGCAUUUUAAUUGAGCCCAUAUAAUUGCGUCGAAGUGGAGCUAAAGGACUCAAGGGAGGGACGUUUUUAGCUUAAUUAGAUUAAUUGGACUGAGCCUACAUUAGUUACAUCAAUAUUUGGCAAGAUCAAAUAGGGAGGCCUUGAACUUAGUUAUAUUUUUGGAUCAAGUGUUGGUCAAGCCCUCUGAUCUAAUAUCUCAAGUUUGAGCUCGCGUGCUAAACCUGACUUGAAUUGAAUUAUUAAUCGAAGCCAUUUUUAGUGUUGAAGAAUCUUUACUGUGGCAUUAUUUAUUAAUCCUAAGAAGACUUGUAGCGGACGACUGCUCAGAAAAAGCUUCUUUGCUGGACUUGCUUUCAGCCGCACAAAAGAAAGCAAAUGGGGCCCAGGAUAAAUAGAGUAAAAAAAUAAGUACAAAGAAGAGUUUUGUGUUUUUGAAUUCUUUUCCCUACCCGCACAACUCAUGAAAAAGCCGCCAGAGGGUUUCCUUAAAACAAAGCCGCAUAGAGAAAUAGGGCCGCAUAGUGACGUCCAAAAGGGCAUGCUUAAUUUUACUAUAAAUAGUGUCUGAUUCUGUUCUUUUAUUCCUCGGAACAAAAAAAGAACAGAAAUCUGUUUGGUAAAAUUUUUGUUCUCGGGAAAAAAAGUAGUUUUUUUUCCCGGGAAUAGAUUUGGAAUAGAAUCAAUAAGUAGAAAAAAGUUACAUCUUGUUCUCGAGAACAAUUCCUAGAAUCAGUUCCUAUUUUUUUUUCUUCUAUUUUUUUUUUCUCUUCUUCUCUUCCUCUUUCUUCUUCUUCCCUUUGGCCGGUCGCUAGCCUUGGCCAUGGUCAACGAUCAGUCAGACGAGGGCCGACGACCUCGCCCUAGCCUAGUGAGGCUCCAGUGAGGUCGCCGGAUGUCGCCUAGCAGGUUGCCGACCACCGCCGUGGCAAACGAUUGGCUACGAAGAAGAAGGAGGAAGAAGAGGAAAAGAAAAAGAAAAAAGAGAAAAAAAGAAGAAAAAUAUAAUAAAAGUAUUAAAAAUUAAAAGAAACAAAAAAUUUAAGAAUUUUACCAAAUGCAUUUAUAUCCCGAGAAUAGGAAUUUGGGACAGUUAACAAGCGUGUUCUUUUGCUAAGAAAUUGUUCUAGGGAGCAGAAUCAGAAAAAAAAAAUCAUUUUGAUCAAAAAUUGUUCAUCGGAGCAAAAUUGUUACCAAAUACGCCCAUAGUGACGUCCGAAAAGCUGAACAGAGAGCACUUCCAUGAAAAAGGGGGAACUCUUGAAUACAAGACUAGGAUUUUAUAUUGUGAAUUUAUAUCCAAAUUAAUUUUUUUAUUUAUAAAUAUUUUAAAUUUGAACUUAAUUUAAGGUGUAGGAAACAUUUGAGUACGUAAGUAGUUAUAACUCAAAUUCUCUAAUUAUAGGGAAUUAUUUGCUGACGGCUCUUCUAUUAGAUAUAAAUACGAAUAUCUGAACUAAUUCACGUCAAUUAUUUUUGUCCUUUAUGGUUUCUGGUUUAUUUCUGUAGUAUUUUCGCAUUGACUUAAUUUGUUAGAUCCUGAUUAGUUUCCACGUUCAUAUUUCAACAAUCUGUAUCGAAUUUCUAAAUUGAAACUUGAGACUUUUGCUUGUCAGAUUAUUAUCUAGAAAUUUUUCUAUUAUAAUUAUGUCUUUUGUGAAGUUGAAAUCGAGAAGUUUAAUGGAAUGGACAACUUUAGUUGUGGAGAGUCAAGAUGUGUGCGUUAUUGACAACCCAAUAUUUGGCCAAGGCAUGAGAUGACAAAGAUGGGUUGCUGAUUAUAAUGCUAUUGGAGAAAGCAAAGCAUAUAACCUUGUUGAAUCUAUCGGAUGACGUGUUAAUAAAUGUGGCGGAGGAGAAGGAUUCCGCGGUUUGGUAGGUAAAACUUCAAGCACUCAUAAUAUAUAAUGGAGGGUUUGAAUAAUUACUCAUACAUGCUAAAGAUGAUGUUUUAAUUUCGACGAACUGAAGGUAUGUUUAUCAAAUCCCAUCUAGAUGAGUUUAGUAAACUCAUGAUGGAUUUGAUACUUGAUGUUGAAGAACAUGGCGUGUGGUUUUUAGCUUCUUUACUAGAAUCAUGGGAGCACUUUAUUGAUUCACUGCUACAAGAAUGUAUUACGAUUAUUUGGGAAGAGAUCAAGUCCACUUUCUUCUCUAAGGAAUGAUAAAGAAAGUUGCGAGGUAGAGACCAACAUCGAGGGUCCAUUAACAAUAGAGGUAAAAGCAGGUCGAAGUCACACCAUAAAAAGUCCACGGGAUGCAUGAAGUCUUUUGUGUUUCGCGAGCAAAUCAGUGAUUCCAGUGUGCAAUCUUAGGAGGUCGAGGAGUGCACUGGUUCGACACAUUACUCAUGAGUUUGUCACGUAGAUAUGACAACCAGCACAAAAGUAUUCCUUUGAGGAAAGACUAUAUGACUCAUAGCUGUAUAUCACACAGUCAUACGGAUUUGGCAAUUUGCAUCCGUUACUCGUUGAUUCAUGCUGAAAUUUCGAGAACAUCUAUACAUUUAGCUCUUCAGCCUAACCAAGUGGAGACACGGUAGAUUGAUUAUCGUCACGAGAUCGCGGCUGGUCUGAUGGUUGAAAAACCAAUUAUGACUCGUUCUUCAUUUCCUCAUUCUUGGACUGUUUGUGUUCGUCGAUUUCGGCGAUUAUUUCCCAUGCUGUUAUUGCUUUUACUGUAAAGCAGAAGAGUCAUGCUUUAUUCACCUUUUUGCGAAUGCAGUGAUCUCAAGGAGUCUAUUCUCUAACUCCGAAGGCCUAAACUUAGGCUGGGUAUCCCCCGACCAGAUCAAUCGUAGGUUUGGUCAGUGGGCUUUUAGCAGGUUCUCGGUUCAUUUUGAACCAUCCCCAAGUUGGUGGCAACCAUUUAUCCUUAUGUGUUUUAGGGUCUAUUUUAGAUUUGUUCUAAAACUUAAUUGUGGCCAUUUUUACGAGAGUAUAUAUGGUGAAACGUUUUAAGCUAAUUUAAUUUUACAAAAUUAAAUUAAACUGAGGGCAUGUCACUAGUUCAUAUUAUACAUCAAACGUGGGAUUGAAAAUCAAAUUGGAAAUAACUAUUUUCAUUUAUAGAUACUUCUCUUCAACUAAGCAACUCAUUAAUACUUUUUUUUUUAAUGGCAAAUGAUUGAACUGAAAAAAGAAAGUCAGAUGACAAGGCCCUCAAUCAUUGCAUUUAUUGCAAGAGAAAUAAUUUUACACAUUUCCUACAUAAAUUUCUGAAUCUUAACCGAUGAAUUGAUUUCAUUAAUGCACUACUUCCCUCGAGCUAUAUAAGUUCUCAUCUCUAGAUCAACUGCUUCAUCAAACGAUCAACAAUCUCAAACAAUUUUCUAACCCUCCUAUCCCCAAAAGACCAUAAUGGCAAUGCCGAAGAACUUGUCCGCUCUUAUGAUCUUGUUGGUCGUCCCUGUUGCAUUGCUUCCUAAGGCUACCUUCGCCAAGGUAGGAAACCCUGAUUGCGGAAAGGGAAUAAGAUCUGAUUGUGGGUCUGGAUUAUUUCAAUUCAUUUUCCUUGCCGACACCUUUACACCCACCAACGAAUGCUGUCAUGAGCUCUUGAAAGCGGGGAAGAACUGCCACAACCAAUUUGUGGAGUUGAGCAUCUCGAGCCACAAGCCGAUUAAGGGGACAAAAUCUGAUGUCUAUAGGAGGAGCAAUGAGAAAUGGAACAAUUGCGUUGUGGCUCUCAGUCCCGUAUCCCCUCCCAAGCCGGCUCAUUGAGAGCUAUUCCCAUUUUAUAGUACAAUAAACGCGUAAUAUAAAAAGAAAGAAAGAAUUAUAAUUUUUGUAUUGAAUUCUCCUCAAAUUUUUUAUUUUAUUUUUGGUGCCACUUAAGCCUCAUGGUUAACUAUCACGGAAGCACAAUUGUGGAUGAAUCAUUUUUCAAUGUUUAAUGUGCUUAUUAAACUUGUAAUUUUUUAAAAUGACCUGCAAAAUAAAAUCAACCCCUAAAGUUGUUACUAGCUUUCGAGUCUACAAACAUAGUCCCAUACAAAACUAUAAAGAAACUAUCACUUUAUUUCUUAUGCUUUUAACAAUACCUUUUGAAACAAAUACCUAAGCGAUAAAAAGAUUAAUAGAUGGUUUAAUAAUCAUACAUUCAUCUCUAAUAAUCACAUGAAUACGUAGUUAAAGCUAGUCGAUCUAGCAUACUAUUAUAUAAAGUAAUGUAAAGAGGACUUCUUAGUUUAAAGGUUUUCUGACAAAUUAAAUCCACAAUAGUUGUUUUAUAUAACACUCUAUCAAUGGAUAAAUGUAUAAAUUAAUAAUCUUAUAUAAAUCUUACUUUGAAUCUUUUUAAUCUUGUAAGCAAUCAUAAAAAUAAAAAAUUCAAAUCUUGAAAUAUAUUUCUCUAUUUAUAUAUGUACGUAUCAAAUUGCUCCAUUAGUAAUUUCUUUCUUUCCAUUAAUUGAUAAUUCAAAUAGCCUAUGUUGGACGAUUUAGCAAAACCUUCAAAUGUUAACUAUAUGUUCAUUCAAGAAUGCGCGUACACUUUUGCUACUCAUAUACUAUGUAAACUUGACUUUUGAACAUUUAAUGAGGUUUUGUUGGUACCAAGAAUUUAGAAAUAUGUAUGGCCCAACAUCUUAUGUAAAAUGAGUUCUUAAUAAGUUUGACCCUGUUAUUAUGCAAGAGUAGGUUUAAUUUAAACAACCCAAACAUAAUGUAUGUUGCUUGGCGCGGAAGAUGACGAUGAAGAUUAUUAUUAUCAGCUUGGCCCCUCUUCAUUUAACGAAACCUAUUAAUUAUCACAAGUUUUAGUAAUUUUUAAUAAAGAGAAAAUAGUCCCACCCCAAUAACUAGUCCAAAGGUUAAAUGAUCAAUUAAUGAGUUCAGUAAAUCUGGAAAAGCAAAACCCAAAUCUUGUUAAAGGAUAAUUACCUAAUAAAAAAUUCGACCAAAAAAAUUUAGCUUUUAAAUAAUCUCAACUAAUCUAGAAAACCAAAGCCAAUUUUGGUUUAUAGAUAUAAAGGAAAAACAAGACUGGUAAGAAAUUUGUACAUAUAAACUUGGCUCCUUUUCAUUAAUUAAUGAGACCUAUUGAUUAUUUAACUUCUUUUUCCACAAGUUGUUGAAAAAUAAGUUAAUGAAGAAAAAAAUCACACUAAAAUAUCUCAGCAAUUAAUUAGGUAAUAAGUUUGCUAAAUAUAACAAACCAAAACCAAAUUAUUUGAUCAAUGGUUUAAUUUAUCUAUUGUUGAUACUUAAAUUUUGGCUUCAAGUGUAAUCAUUUGCAUAAAAAUUAGGUCUUAUUUCAUGAAAAACCCUUAAUGAGUACACUUGUGUCAACCUAAACAGGUACACUUGUGAUUGUUCAUGAUAUUAAUACAAUUUCAUAGAAACUAAUUGAGAGUAAAUUUAUCACAAAUGUAUCAGGUUCGGAUUUUUUGUAGUCAAAAAAUUAGUUUGGGAAAAUUUGUCAUAGGAAUACUAGUUUGGAAUUAUGGCGGUUAAAAAUUUAGUUUGAGAUAAAUUUGUCAUAGAUGUACUUGUUUGAUAAUUUUUGUGGCGUUAAUCCUAAAAAUUGGGGAUGGAUCCUAACCCGAAAUAAGAGGUAUUAUUAACAUAACGUGCAUUUGCAUUAUAGAUUUUUGAAUUUCUAAGAUUAAUUAUGCAUGAUGUGAAAUGAGGAUACAUGAGCAGAUUUGAAGAGGGAAAAUCAAGAAAGAGAUCGUGGCCAGCCAGGAGGAGAUUUGACGAUAUAUUUGACUGGAAAUCAUGACAAGAGAGGGUGAAAAUUCUAGGAUGUUGAAGGAAAUUUUUGCAAAAUAAAAGGGGGACAUCUUCUUCUUAGGGGAUGAUCAUGGCGUCUUGAAUUAGUUUGUGAAUUUGUUUGGUAAUCAUUUCGUUCCUAAAAAUAAUUAUUGUUUAAAAAAUUUUCUGUUAGUUUUUUUUUUUUUUUGCUUUAGUUCCUUGGACAAGUUUUUGAGGAUCCAUUUUAUUUCCGAAAUAGGAAAAGAACAUGAAUGCAAUUGCUACAACUCGCAAAUUUUUUUGUGACAUAAAAUUUUCUUUUAAUUUUUGAAUAAUUUUAUGAGCUUAUUUUUGUUGUUUUUUUUCCUUCUCUUCUUCUUCCUACUCUAGUCGUUAGCGGGCCUCCGCGAUAGCUGGCAAUCGGCUAGACGAGAGUUGGCAACCUCACCAGCCUUGAGGGAGCCUUGCCUAGCCAUCAGUGAGACCUGACCUCAUCUGGGCAACGUUGAGCCCUGCCCAGCCAAGGCCAGGUUGACCUCACCCAACCAGGACCAAAAGACCUCGUCGUGGGCCAUUGCCAAGCCUAGCAACCAACUGAAGGAGGAAGAGGAAGAAAAGAAAAGAGGGAGAAAGAAGAGAAAAUGACUUGAUUCUAGAAUUUUCCUCGGGAAUAGUGAAAUAACUUUUUUUCUACUUUUUUAUUCUAGUUUUAUUUUUGGGAACAUUGUUCCCUAUUGACAUUAGACCUAUUAAAUGGAUGGGUCAAGUAGGGUUUGGGUCAAGUCACAAAUGGUCCGACCCAAAUCAACGCAUUUAACCUGUUUAUGACCCAUUUAUCGUAGUGUAAAUCUUUUUACCCAUACCUGACCUGACCCAUUUAACUAAACAUAUGAAAGCUUAUUUCUUAUGAUUUUUUUUUUUAUAAAUGGUAUUGCUAAAAUACUUUUAUGCAAUUCAAAUUUAAUGGACAAUUUAUAAUUUUUUUAAAUUGACAUUUUAAAAAUCAAAUUUUUAAUUAAUUUUAAAAUAGAUUUUAAAAUUAUUUUUAUUUUUAAAAAAUUAAAAUUUUUAAUUAUUUGUAUUUUUUAAUAAUAUAAUUUUCCUUUUUCUCUUUUCUCUUUUCUCUUUCUUCUUCUUUAGCUGGUUGCCGGCCAUGACCACGGUCAACAACCUGCCAAAGGCGAGCCUCCAGCUCGCCCGAUCGUCGAGGCUUGAGCCUCGUUAGACGUCACCAAGGUUCGAGCCACACCGAUGUCAGGUGAGGUCGAGCCUUGCGGACAUUUGGCAAGGCCUUUGCUUCGCAAGAUUCGGCCAACUCGAGCCUUGACGACAUUUGGCGAGGCCUCUACCUCGCCAGAUGCAACUAGCUCAAGCUCGCCCAAUGCCAGUGAGCUUGAGUCUCACCUGGUUGGUAACCAACCAUCGUCGUGCCAGCCACUGGCUAAAGAAAAAGAAAGGAAAAAAAAAGGAAAGAAAAAAGAAAAGGAAAAAAAAGGACAGAAAAUUGAAAUAUAAAAAAUAAUUAUAAUUUCGAUUUUUAUAAAAGAUAUUUUUAUAAAGUUCAAGAGGGAAGAGAAAUAUUUUGAGGCUUUAGUUGAAAAUGGGUUCUAAGUCAAAUCAAUUUAACAGCCAUUUAUCUUAAAUCUUCAAUUUUUAAACCCAUUUAAUUGGUUUCUUUAAAAAAUAAGUGACCCAUACAUUACCCAUUUAUGAUGUAAAUGGAUCAUAUAUAUGGGUCGAAGAUCAAAUAGGGAGGCCUUGAACUUAGUUAUAUUUUUGGAUCAAGUAUUGGUCAAGCCCUCUGAUCUCAUAUUAUUAAAUAAUAUCUCAAGUUUGAGCGCGUGUGCUAAACCGGACUUGAAUUGAAUUAUUAAUCGGAGCCAUUUUUAGUGUUGAAGAAUCUUUAUUGUGGCAUUACUUAUUAAUCCUAAGAAGUCGUGUAGCGGACGACUGCUCAGAACACACAAAAGAAAGCAAAUGGGACCCAGGAUAAUUAGAGUAAAAAAAAAAAAGUACAAAGAAGAAUUUUGUGUUUUUGAGUUAUUUUCCCUAGUUGCACAUCUCAUGAAAAAGCCGCCAAAGGUUUUUUUUUUUUUUUUGAUCUAAUACGGUAGUAUAUUGCUAACGGAAAAGGCGGCUUGCUCAAAACAAAGUUGCACAGAGAAAUAGGGUCGCAUAGUGACGUCCAAAAGGGCAUGUUUAUUUUUACUAUAAAUAGUGUCUGAUUCUACCAAUUUAGGCUCGUAAUGCCUAAUUGGAAGCCGAUAUGGGUCAGGAAAAUUCUCAAGAUGCAUUCAAUAAAUAUUAACACAUCUCUACUUGCUAAUUGCACAAUCAAAUUACCUAACAUGCAUCACAAUUAUCUAAUAAUCACUAAUCUACUCUAAUCUAAUCACCUAAUUGCACUUAAUUAAAUCUAAUCAAUCCCUAAGCAUAAUUAGCAAAUUAAUAAGGCAUUAGUGAGCAAAACUCACUUGGCAAAGCGAAGACCGGAACACCGCAAUGACGACGUGAUGGCGGCCAAAAUAUAAACUUUCGGCAGCAUCGGCAGAUACUCAGGCCAGGCCUACAAGCCUCGCAAGCCCACAGAAAAUCACUAGGCUUGGACUUGGGCUUGGGCUGCUUUGUAGGCUUCAAAGAGUUGGGCCGAACAGCUGCUGUGGAAAUGAGCUUCACUGGAUUUGAUGGGUUGAAGAAAGGACCAGACUGGGCUGUUCAAGAAUAACAUGGGCUGCUGAACCGGGCCCAAAACUAGGCUGAACCAAGGCUGAAAACAGGCCCAGCUGUUGGGCCAAAAUUGCUGGAUUCCGUGGGCUGAAAUUGUUGGCUCGUAGACUAGAAUUGCUGGGCUUCACUUGCCGAAAAUGGGCUGAGCUGAUGGAGGUGGGCUCAAACUUGUUGGGCCGCUGAAACACCGAACUAGCUUACUGCGACAGAGACGUGAAGCUCGCUGGAUUUCUGUUUGCUUCAGUUGACGGUGAUGCUGCUCCGCUUGGUGGAUCGUUGGACGUGGCUGAUAAAUCCGGUGGACGUUGAGGAUGCUGCAGUGUUGACCAAUGGAUGGAGAUCCCAGUGGACUUGCUUCAGUGAGUGAAGCUGAAGGAGAUGGUGAAGACGCGUGGAUUGGUGAAGCAGAAGGAAAUCAGUUGCUGGCGUCUUCAAUUGAGGGUUUCGUCAAGGGGGUUUUGACCGAGAGUGGAGAUGGCUGACGGCGGCUUCGCGGCCGAGACAUGUUGACAGAGUGGGAUAUGAGGACGAGCUGCAAAGAAGAAGCAGCUUCGGUGCUGCUACUACUGGUGUCUUCGAUGGAGAAUGGACGGAGAACAAGAGCUGCGGGGAAAUUGAAGAAGGAGAGAGAGAUCGUGGGGUGCUGAGGUCUUCCACCGGAUGAAGGAAAAAGUAGAAAUUAAAAGAAAUGGGCUGGGGGCAUCAGUACGUGAAGAUAAGAG